rnacentral:rRNA from 1 species
UACGUAGGGUGCGAGCGUUGUCCGGAAUUAUUGGGCGUAAAGGGCUCGUAGGCGGUUUGUCGCGUCGGGAGUGAAAACCAGGUGCUUAACACCUGGCUUGCUUUCGAUACGGGCAGACUAGAGGUAUGUAGGGGAGAACGGAAUUCCUGGUGUAGCGGUGAAAUGCGCAGAUAUCAGGAGGAACACCAGUGGCGAAGGCGGUUCUCUGGGCAUGAACUGACGCUGAGGAGCGAAAGUGUGGGGAGCGAACAGG